rnacentral:tRNA from 1 species
GGGGAUGUAGCUCAUUGGUAGAGCGCUUGCUUAGCAUGCGAGAGCUACGGGGAUUGACUGCAUCUUCA